rnacentral:rRNA from 1 species
AGGAUCAUUCGCAAUGGGGGAAACCCUGACGAUGCGACGCUGCGUGGAGGACGACGGCCUUCGGGUUGUAAACUCCUGUCAUCGGGGAAAAGGCGAGGGGGCCCAACACGCCCCUUAGUUGAUGGUACCCGAAGAGGAAGCGACGGCUAACUCUGUGCCAGCAGCCGCGGUAAUACAGAGGUCGCAAGCGUUGUUCGGAUUUACUGGGCGUAAAGGGCGCGUAGGCGGCGGAAUGUGUCGGAUGUGAAAUCUCCGGGCUCAACCCGGAAAGUGCGUCCGAAACUAUUCCGCUCGAGUGCGGGAGGGGGAAGGGGAAUAUAGGGUGUAGCGGUGAAAUGCGUUGAUAUCCUAUAGAACACCGGAGGCGAAGGCGCCUUCCUGGAACGCAACUGACGCUGAGGCGCGAAAGUCGGGGGAGCAAACA